rnacentral:rRNA from 1 species
UACGGAGGGUGCAAGCGUUAUCCGGAUUCACUGGGUUUAAAGGGUGCGUAGGAGGGCAGGUAAGUCAGUGGUGAAAUCCCCGAGCUUAACUUGGGAACUGCCGUUGAUACUAUCUGUCUUGAAUAUGGUGGAGGUAAGCGGAAUAUGUCAUGUAGCGGUGAAAUGCUUAGAUAUGACAUAGAACACCUAUUGCGAAGGCAGCUUACUACGCCUAUAUUGACGCUGAGGCACGAAAGCGUGGGGAUCAAACAGG